GGUAUCGUGGCUUAGUGGUUGAGUGCUUGCCUCCCAUGCAUGAGGCACUGGGUUUGAUCCUCAGCACCACCU
rfam:Ictidomys tridecemlineatus contig007928, whole genome shotgun sequence.